UACUUUUUUGUACAGAUGGAAAAAGUUUUUACCGUUGCCAACAAUUUUAUUUCAGAGUUCAGGACUAAAUCGAGAUUCUUGGUUGCAUCACUUCUGAGAUUCUGAAGUUUUUCUCUGGUCGGAUGAUGUUCACUAUUGCUGCUUCAUAAUGGUGGAUUCAAAGAGGGACAGAAGAAGGACAUGAGUUACAACAAUGCAGAUGAUUCAAGAACAGAUUGUUUUGCUGGCAAACAGUUGAAGACUACUCUUUGAAACAAAACAAAAAAAACACAAUGGAAGCAAAUGAGGGAAACUAAUCAAUUGCUGCUACUUUCGUUGCUUAUUGGAUGAUGAUCACUUGCCUAUAAUCAGUUUGGCUCUGGCAUCUCCUUGGUUGAUUUGGAAUUGGUCUCCUAGUCCAAAAUGAGCCAUCAAUAGCCAAACAAAGCUUAUGAGUUCUCCUCCUUUGCUUAGCUGAGCUGCGUGUUCUAUAGCGCCACACUUUGUCGCUGCAUACGAAAGCAACUCAACCCACACUUGGCUCAUUAUUUUCCACAUCUCUGAGUCGUCCUCCUUAUUCUUUCUUAAACCCUUAAGCUCUUUCGCCAGCAUGGCCCCAUCAAACAGGACGGAUUUGCUUCUAUCUCCUUUCACGUCAAUGGGCUCAGCUUUUGCUGGAACUGCCACUGAUAAAAUUGCCACGCUGGCUUCCUUUGCAUCAGGGGCCUUCUUUGCGGAUAUCCCCAUGAUAUGCCUCCUAUCGAAGAACCUCUGAGCCUCCUCGCACGUGUCUCUGAAUCUUAUCUUUCCAAUACCCACAACAGCUGACAUCAGAGUGGGUUGCAUCAUUAGGAGAUACAUCAUGUAGUCUGACAGGAUUUUACUGAACUCACGGGCGCUAUGAUUCGCUUUAGUGCCUUUUUUUGUCUGGUAUAAGAGCUCAGUGGCUAUAUGCCAUACAAGAAGGCUCUGAUCGUAAUCCAUUUCCAUCACAUAGCGUAGAAGUUUCUCACGUUUUUUUUCUGUUUCUGGGUCACCUUGUAUGUCGCGCAGUGUCCAGUCACCUCUUGCUGAA